rnacentral:rRNA from 1 species
GUGGCGCACGGGUGAGUAAGGUAUAGUUAAUCUGCCCUACACAAGAGGACAACAGUUGGAAACGACUGCUAAUACUCUAUACUCCUGCUUAACACAAGUUGAGUAGGGAAAGUUUUUCGGUGUAGGAUGAGACUAUAUAGUAUCAGCUAGUUGGUAAGGUAAUGGCUUACCAAGGCUAUGACGCUUAACUGGUCUGAGAGGAUGAUCAGUCACACUGGAACUGAGACACGGUCCAGACUCCUACGGGAGGCAGCAGUAGGGAAUAUUGCGCAAUGGGGGAAACCCUGACGCAGCAACGCCGCGUGGAGGAUGACACUUUUCGGAGCGUAAACUCCUUUUCUUAGGGAAGAAUUCUGACGGUACCUAAGGAAUAAGCACCGGCUAACUCCGUGCCAGCAGCCGCGGUAAUACGGAGGGUGCAAGCGUUACUCGGAAUCACUGGGCGUAAAGGGCGCGUAGGCGGAUUAUCAAGUCUCUUGUGAAAUCUAAUGGCUUAACCAUUAAACUGCUUGGGAAACUGAUAGUCUAGAGUGAGGGAGAGGCAGAUGGAAUUGGUGGUGUAGGGGUAAAAUCCGUAGAUAUCACCAAGAAUACCCAUUGCGAAGGCGAUCUGCUGGAACUCAACUGACGC